AGAGUUUGAUCCUGGCUCAGGACGAACGCUGGCGGCACGCCUAACACAUGCAAGUCGAACGGAGAUGAUUUGAGUUUACUUAGAUCAUCUUAGUGGCGGACGGGUGAGUAACACGUGAGCAACCUGCCUUUGAGAGAGGGAUAGCUUCUGGAAACGGAUGGUAAUACCUCAUAACAUACAGAUACCGCAUGGUGACUGUAUCAAAGAUUUAUCACUCAAAGAUGGGCUCGCGUCUGAUUAGAUAGUUGGUGAGGUAACGGCUCACCAAGUCGACGAUCAGUGGCCGGACUGAGAGGUUGAACGGCCACAUUGGGACUGAGACACGGCCCAGACUCCUACGGGAGGCAGCAGUGGGGAAUAUUGCACAAUGGGGGAAACCCUGAUGCAGCGAUGCCGCGUGGAGGAAGAAGGUUUUCGGAUUGUAAACUCCUGUCUUAAAGGACGAUAAUGACGGUACUUUAGGAGGAAGCUCCGGCUAACUGCGUGCCAGCAGCCGCGGUAAUACGUAGGGAGCGAGCGUUGUCCGGAAUUACUGGGUGUAAAGGGAGCGUAGGCGGGACGGCAAGUCAGAUGUGAAAUACAUGGGCUCAACCCAUGGGCUGCAUUUGAAACUGCUGUUCUUGAGUGAAGUAGAGGUAAGCGGAAUUCCUGGUGUAGCGGUGAAAUGCGUAGAUAUCACGAAGAACUCCGAUUGCGAAGGCAGCUCACUGGAGCGCAACUGACGCUGAAGCUCGAAAGUGCGGGUAUCGAACAGGAUUAGAUACCCUGGUAGUCCGCACGGUAAACGAUGGAUGCCCGCUGUUGGCCUGAAUAGGUCAGCGGCCAAGCGAAAGCAUUAAGCAUCCCACCUGGGGAGUACGCCGGCAACGGUGAAACUCAAAGGAAUUGACGGGGGCCUGCACAAGCGGAGGAACAUGUGGUUUAAUUCGAUGAUACGCGAGGAACCUUACCCGGGCUUGAAUUGCAGAGGAAGGAUUUGGAGACAAUGACGCCCUUCGGGGCCUCUGUGAAGGUGCUGCAUGGUUGUCGUCAGCUCGUGCCGUGAGGUGUCGGCUUAAGUGCCAUAACGAGCGCAACCCCUCUCCUUAGCUGCCAUCAGGUCAUGCUGGGCACUCUGGGGACACUGCCACCGUAAGGUGUGAGGAAGGUGGGGAUGACGUCAAAUCAGCACGGCCCUUACGUCCGGGGCUACACACGUGUUACAAUGGCAGGUACAGAGAGACGGUCCCUUGCAAAAGGGAUCAAAUCCUCAAAGCCUGUCUCAGUUCGGACUGGGGUCUGCAACCCGACCCCACGAAGCUGGAUUCGCUAGUAAUCGCGCAUCAGCCAUGGCGCGGUGAAUACGUUCCCGGGCCUUGUACACACCGCCCGUCAAGCCAUGAAAGCCGGGGGCGCCUAAAGUCCGUGACCGUAAGGAGCGGCCUAGGGCGAAACUGGUAAUUGGGGCUAAGUCGUAACAAGGUA
rnacentral:rRNA from 1 species